rnacentral:rRNA from 1 species
GACGAACCGUGCGAACGUUGUUCGGAAUCACUGGGCUUAAAGGGCGCGUAGGCGGGCUGGUAAGUCAGGGGUGAAAGCCCACGGCCCAACCGUGGAAGUGCCUUUGAUACUGCCAGUCUCGAGGGAGGUAGGGGCGUGCGGAACUUCCGGUGGAGCGGUGAAAUGCGUAGAUAUCGGAAGGAACACCGGUGGCGAAAGCGGCGCGCUGGACCUCUUCUGACGCUGAGGCGCGAAAGCCAGGGGAGCAAACGGGG